AUACGGAGGAUGCGAGCGUUAUCCGGAUUUAUUGGGUUUAAAGGGAGCGUAGGCGGGAGCUUAAGUCAGCGGUUAAAUGGUGCGGCUCAACCGUGCCCUGCCGUUGAAACUGGGUUUCUUGAGAGUGCAAGAGGCGGAUGGAAUUCAUGGUGUAGCGGUGAAAUGCUUAGAUAUCAUGAAGAACUCCGAUUGCGAAGGCAGUCCGCUGGGGCACGUCUGACGCUGAUGCUCGAAGGUGCUGGAAUCAAACAGGAUUAGAUACCCUGGUAGUCCGCACGGUAAACGAUGAUUACCCGCUGUCGGCGGUAGACAGUCGGCGGCCAAGCGAAAGCGAUAAGUAAUCCACCUGGGGAGUACGCCGGCAACGGUGAAACUCAAAUGAAUUGACGGGG
rnacentral:rRNA from 1 species